GAGCCAGUCGAUAAAUAUACUAGAUGUGUUUAUAGAAUAUUAGAAAAAGCUGGCAAUAGUACUGCCAACUUACGAGCCUUCAAGGCAUUGAAGUCACUAAGGUCCCUGAAUGUGGCUCCAAAA